rnacentral:rRNA from 1 species
UUAGCAGUAGGGUGCGGUCUGGGUGGUAAGGCGGAGGGGGCUGGACUGAGCCGGAAUGAGUUGGCGGAAAGCACGGGUUGGCGUCCCUGUAAGUCCGCUUUGGAAGUCGAGGGCUCAACCCUGGGAUGCCGGUGGAUACUGCUGGGCUUGAGGACGGAAGAGGCGAUUGGAAUUCCUGGUGUAGCGGUGAAAUGCGCAGAUAUCAGGAGGAACACCGAUUGCGAAGGCAGCUCGCUGGGACGUGACUGACGCUGAGACGCGAAAGCGUGGGGAGCAAACAGGAUUAGAUACCCGAGUCGUC